CGCGCCCCUGUCGCCUCCACCCCAUGUCCCCAUCCGCUAGCUUUGGCCAUUGCCCAUUGGGUUUCGAGGUUCAUCUAUCAAUCCCACUGACCUCCAGGAUUUCUGCAAUUUGUAGGUUUUGUGCGCAGAUCCCGAGUCGUUGCAUACAGAUCUGACCUGCAGCCCACGGUGGUGGUCACAUCUUCGGUUGUUGAAACCACGGUUAAACUUGUUUCAGCCAAACAAACAGUACUGGAACUGGAAUUCCAGGCAAGUUCGUCAGCAACGUAUAAAAUGCACAAAGAGGAGGCAAUGAAAACCACCUAUCAUGAAGAUACUACCAGUACUGAUGGAUCAAACAUGGAUAAAUACGAUCCAUGGAAUCCUCCGUAUCCUCCAUGCCCUCCUGCUGUUGGAAAUAGCUUAAGUGACUCUAUCCGUUUAGUAGCUAAGUGGUCACGUGAGAAAGAAGCUGCAAUUGGUGCCAUCAGAGCAUCCAGUAUAAUCUUCCCAGACCGCAUCCCUAAG